CUACGGGUUGCUCCAGUGGGGAAUAUUGCACAAUGGGGGAAACCCUGAUGCAGCAACGCCGCGUGGAGGAUGACGCAUUUCGGUGUGUAAACUCCUUUUAUAUAGGAAGAUAAUGACGGUACUAUAUGAAUAAGCACCGGCUAACUCCGUGCCAGCAGCCGCGGUAAUAAGGAGGGUGCAAGCGUUACUCGGAAUCACUGGGCGUAAAGCGCGCGCAGGCGGUCUGAUAAGUUGGAUGUGAAAGCCUACGGCUCAACCGUAGAACUGCAUCCAAAACUGUCAGACUAGAGUCUGGGAGGGGAAGAUGGAAUUAGUUGUGUAGGGGUAAAAUCCGUAGAGAUAACUAGGAAUACCAAAAGCGAAGGCGAUCUUCUGGAACAGUACUGACGCUGAGGCGCGAAAGCGUGGGGAGCAAACAGGAUUAGAUACCCUGGUAGUC
rnacentral:rRNA from 1 species